rnacentral:rRNA from 1 species
UACGGGGGGUGCGAGCGUUGUCCGGAAUCACUGGGCGUAAAGGGCGCGUAGGUGGUUUGAUAAGGGUGUGGUGAAAGUCCGGGGCUCAACCCCGGAUCUGCCGUGCCGACUGUCAAACUCGAGGACUGUAGAGGCAGACGGAAUUCCGGGUGUAGCGGUGGAAUGCGCAGAGAUCCGGAGGAAGACCGGUGGCGAAGGCGGUCUGCUGGGCAGUUUCUGACACUGAGGCGCGACAGCGUGGGGAGCAAACAGG